CUUCUUCUUCUUCUUCUUCUCUCCUUCUUCUCUCCUCCUUCUUAUUCUCCCUCCUUCUUCUCCUUCUUCUUCUCCUCCUUCUUCUCCUCCUUAUUCUCCUUCUUCUUCUCCUCUUCUCCUCCUUCUCCUUCUCCUUCUCCUUCUCCUCCUCCUCCUCCUCCUCCUCCUUAUUCUUGUUUUUCUUCUCCUUCUUAUCUUCUUGC
rnacentral:lncRNA from 1 species